rnacentral:rRNA from 1 species
CGGACGGGUGAGUAACGCGUGACUGAUCUGCCCUUUAGACUGGGAUAACCUUUGGAAACAGAGGCUAAUACCGGAUGAGAUAUCGGUAGUUAGAGAGCUGGUAUUGAAAGUGAAUGCGCUAAGGGAUGAGGUUGCGGGCCAUCAUCUAGUUGGUGAGGUAAAGGCUCACCGAGGCGAUGACGGCUAGGGGACCUGAGAGGGUGGCCCCCCACACUGGGACUGAGACACGGCCCAUACUCCUACGGGAGGCAGCAGUAAGGGAUAUUGCACUAUGGACGGAAGUCUGAUGCAGCGACGCCGCGUGGGUGAAGAAGGUUUUCGGAUCGUAAAGCCCUUUUCUAUGUGACGAGGAAGGACGGUAGCAUAAGAAUAAGUGUCGGCUAACUACGUGCCAGCAGCCGCGGUAAAACGUAUGACACGAACGUUAUCCGGAGUUACUGGGCGUAAAGAGCGCGUAGGCGGUUGGUUAAGUUACCUGUGAAAGGAUACCGGCUAAACUGGUAUAAGUUGGGUGAAACUGGUCGACUAGAGAGAAAUAGAGGGAAGUAGAAUUCCGGGUGUAGUGGUGAAAUGCGUAGAUAUCAGGUGGAACACCGGUGGUGAAGACGGCUCUCUGGAUCGCCACUGACGCUGAGACUCGAAAGCGUGGGGAGCAAACAGGAUUAGAUACCCUGGUAGUCCACGCCCUAAACGAUGCAUACUUGGUGUGGGCUCUUCACUGAGUCCGUGCCGGAGCUAACGCGUUAAGUAUGCCGCGUGGGGAGUACGGUCGCAAGGCUGUAACUCAAAGGAAUUGACGGGGGCCCGCACAAGCGGUGGAGCAUGUGGUUUAAUUCGAUGAUAAGCGAAGAACCUUACCUAGGCUUGACAUGUUUGGUGGUACCGAACCGAAAGGGGAAAGACCCUUCGGGGAGCCUUACACAGGUGUUGCAUGGCCGUCGUCAGCUCGUACCGUGAGGUGUUGGGUUGAGUCCCGCAACGAGCGCAACCCUUAUCGUUUGUUAUUCUCUCUGACGAGACAGUCCUUGAACGGAAGGAAGGUGGGGACGACGUCAGGUCAUCAUGACCCUUACGCCUAGGGCUACACACACGCUACAAUGGCCGGUACAGACGGCUGCGAAACCGUAAGGUAGAGCCAAUCCGACAAAGCCGGUUUCAGUUGGGAUUGAAGGCUGAAACCCGCCUUCAUGAACGUGGAGUUGCUAGUAACCGCAGGUCAGCAUACUGCGGUGAAUACGUUCCCGGGGAUUGUACACACCAACCCGUA